rnacentral:lncRNA from 1 species
CGCUCACUUUGUAAAGACUGUCUCUAUCUUCUUUUUCAAUAAGAAUUCUCAGCUGGAAGUCAGUCUGACCUCUGUCAAAGAUUGUUCAUUGAGAACCGUAGGCAGGAUGGUAGAGCCCAUCCUUGGGCAUUUCUAGCUCACUGUUGUGCUACCUUGGUGAGAGAACCGGAGCACGAUAACUACAGAGUGAUGGGCUUGGAGAAUGGACAGGCUUUGAGAUGGAGAACACCAACACGGCAACGUGCAGGGUUCUGAUGGAGUUUUAGUUGUGCAGGUUUUUGCCUAGUGAAGUUGUGGAUGCCCAUCCCUGGAGUUGCUCAAGGCCAGGUUGGAUGGGGUCACGGGCAGCCUGAUCUGGUGCCUGUGUAGUGGUUGGAAACCCUGCCUGUGGCAGGGGGGUUGGAACUAGGGUAUCUUUGAGGUUCCUUCCAGCCCAAUGGAGUGGUUUGGAUUCUGUGAUUCUGUGAAGGCUCUUCCUGCAACACAGACAGCACUCAGCUGCUCACCCAGGUUCUUCUUGCUCAAGGGGCAGAGGGCUGCUUUUCCAUGAGCAUAAGGGCUGUUGUUCCUGAGUUCUGUGUAGCCAUGGUGAGCUCUGUGGUCAUGUAAACAUUACACAAUGGAGAUCCCCCGCUGGCUGAGGGCAGCAGAGGCACUACAGGGCUCCUCCUCUUUGGAUUGCUCUUCCUAGGGGAGUGCAGCACUUCAUGAAAUCACGACAGCAAGCUCUGGAGGUGCCAGCAAGCCUGCAGCCCUCUCAGCAUUACGCUUGCAUUGCUGAGAAGAUGGGUCACAUUUCUGGGAAUCCACCCUGACCUCCUCUGGUGAUGCUCUCUGAGGAUAGAGACAGGGAACAAAUAGAUGCUUCUUACCCAGCUGCUGGUUCCACUUGAGGAACUUCACAACUCUGGGUGAUUAACAAGCUCCUGGAUGCUUGCAUGUGGGGCCUUCCCUUCUGGACAGACCUCCAGGAGAUACGGUCAGGACAAGGUGAUGGUGUGGGCAGCACCUGCUGGGGGUAAUGGGGCAGGAAGAAGGAGCAGAGAGAGCACUCUGGAUCUUCCCUCAUUCCUAAGGGUUGACAGCAGGACACAUAUCCAGCACAAGUCCUCGUUGUGCUCCUUGACUCGGGGGCAAUAUGGCUUACAGGAAGAAAAAAAUAUAGGCAGACAUCUUUAGCCCUUCGCGAGAAGAUAGCUGCUGGCUGGCCUGGUGGGAAGCGAUGUGCCAGGGAGAAGUAAAAUGAGAUGAAAGCUCUGCCAGCAUGUCACCACGAGUGCUUCUGUAGAAACAGUACGAGUACGAUGAGCAAACCUUUGACCGCCUAUUGGAAACAGAUUUUUCUCGACACAGAAGCAAUCCCUUUGGAACGAGAGCCCUGACCAAAGCUGGGCGUCAGAGAAGGGCUUACAGCGAGUUGUGGGGAGGAAGGAAACCCGCCAGUGGGACAGACAGCAUUGCCUUUUGUUUUAGUUUGUAGCGCUGAUUGUUGACUCCUUUUUGAUUUCACAAGAAUCUCUGGAUUUUGUCAACUUCCUUCAGAGAUUUUGCUGGGAAAAAAAAUGGUAACUGUGCUUAAUGUUCUCCUUUCUCAACAAAACCACUCAACUUUUUCAUUCAAAUCAAAAUUUUCCAUGGACAGCAAUGCGUGUUCCCCAACCAGCAGCAUAAACACAUUGGGCACUGCAUUACUCUCUAGAUAUUUGUAUUCCAGCAGCAAGAACUCAGGUCAGAGUCUUUUUCUGCUGGACCUCACGAAGCAAGAGACAACCUUACUCUGAAGACUUUGUAAUCAGAAUGGAAAAGACAGAGGACAAAAGAAAUGAAGGAAAAAAAAAUACUAUAAAUAUGCUUUAACAGAUGGAGCACUGAGGUGGCAGAAGAUGAAGUGAUUCUUUUGACGUCAUAAUCAUAGGAAAUCUAAGCCAAAAUGAAGAACUAAAUCCAUCCCUCUUGGAAGGCUCAGCACAUAUCUUUAACCACAGUCCAUCCUUUCCCUCCAGUGCUGUUGAGUUCUUUGUUGUUUGCGAGGGGAUGGCACUUGGCACAGUGCUACUUGCUGAGGAUCUGUCACCUUACAGGGACAUAUCUUGGGUGAUUCAUCAAGUAUGCCUGAUGACCACUUGUUCACAUCAGCUCCUCCUGGGGAAACCCAGCACCUGGGUGAAACUUUACUUUC